ACGGCUGGGGGCGGGACAUGGGACGAUUUUUGGGCGGAAGAAGGAAGUAGAGCGCCUUUUCCCAUUAUUCUCAAUGGUGGGCUUGAAGCCAUAUACCUCCUUGCCAAUUCUUGCCAAGUCGGCUCUGUUUCGUUCCUACGAUAGUUUCCCCUCCCUUCCAAACAGCCCAGAUAUUUUUUUCAGGCUGACCCUGUAUUUAAGAGAGCUAUUAAAAUAGUUUAAAUGACCAAUGAGCAUGGCUAUUUGGGUUGAUUGGCAGUUGACAUUCUUUAGAAUUAUUGUUUUGAUUGACAGGCAGGCCGUCGUCAAGGCGAAGGACGACUCUCGCGCCGUCUCCAGGGGAAGCUCCCUCCCUGCUGCAUUACUUUCAACAGCUUCAUCACUGCCAUGGGUUAUUUAAUUUUGGUACACUUUCCCCACAAAUAUGCGUUGUUGUACUUUUGGAUGUACUUCUCCGUAUUCUGUAAGGACCUCUGCAGUUUUGGUGUUUUGCCCCUGCGGUUGUGAGGAGGAUGCUGUGUAGGUGGCAGCGUGAACGUGUCACACAGACAUUGGCUAAACUACUCGAUGUCUGCAAAUGUACAGUAGGCUACACGCCAGCAGGUCUCACCAUAGUCAGCAUCAUCAAGGAUUGUCACUCCGACCUGAGAAGAGGCCCCAUAGAGACACGGACAAGGACCAGCCACUGUUGCCAGUGCACAACUGAGGACCCGACCAGCCUGCUGCCAUCUAUGAUACUAUAUAGUACCCGCGGAGCGGUCUGAAGACGUGGAGUACACUGCAGCAGGUAUCACAUGACCAAGGACUUGGACAACGUCUCUGCUUACAUCUAUAGUGUAUUACACAACUGAAGAUGUACAGUACGCUGCUGCCUGCAUCCUGCCACCACAGAGGAUCCGAUAUGCAGAACCAGCUUCAAAAACCAUUGCAAUUAUGAAACACAGUUAAUAAAUGCUUAUAUACAGCAGCCCACACAUUUUGUUUAAUUUGUAAUAUUGGUUAACACACUAUUGUUACAACUGUUUAGAUCGGUGUUUCCCAACCAGGGGUACAUGUACCACUAGGGGUACGUGAACACAAUGCAGGUGGUACAUGCAUUGGCAGGUAUCAAUAAAAAGAAAUGUAUGGAGCAUAAUCAUAUUGGGAUAGAGGAAGAUAUACAGUAGACUAGAGCAUGAGGGAGGGGGUACUCAUGGUAUGACAAAAAUGCUUAGGGGGUACUUGAGACAAAAAAAAGUUGGGAGACACUGUGUGAUUGAAGUAAUGCAUUUCUUACAAGCUUGGGGAAGAAUGUCCACUCCAUGAUUUGCAAGUUUAAAAAGCAGAACAUAAGGGUGAAUAUUUCAUUUUAAUCUUGA